GGGGGCGUCUCGGUUUCGACGGGGGCGCUGAAGCAUGUUAAGCGGGCAGAAGCGCACAGCUUCUUUAAAAUGUGCAAACCUUUAUAAAUUAAACAACAACAAUAAGCUUGCUGUUGCUGCUUAAUUAAAAGCAGCCGUCUUUACCGGAAGGGCCACGAGCCGGAUAAAGGCGUGGAUUAGUGGCGGACGUGAGUGCGCAAAGCUUUGAGCGCGCCAUGCAUCAUGAAGCUACCGGACCCGCGAGUCAGGCGGAUGACUCACGGGCGAGGGAAUCCCGAGAUCCGCCUGCGCCCGGAGAAAAACAUGUGGACGUACUUUCGGACAGGGGUUCAACUCCCCUCGCCUCCACCA
rnacentral:tmRNA from 1 species